AUGUCUAUUAUUCAACAAUUUUGGUGGGGCGGUAAGAAAGGGAGAAGGAAGCCCUGUUGCGUUGCAUAGAUUGUCAUGACCACACCAAAACACUUGUGAGGCCUUGGUUUCCGUGACUUCGAGAUUUUCAAUCUCGCACUUCUCUCUAGACAGGCAUGGCGAAUUAUGAAUGAUUCAGAGUCUCCCAGUGCUACGAUCCUCAUAGAAAGUUACUUCCUAAGCUAUUCUUUGCCCGAAGCCGAAGUGGGCUCGCACUCCUCACAAAUCUGGCGAACGAUCCUUGAUGGACGUGAUUUGUCUCAAGGCAUCAUAUGCAGAGUUGGGGAUGGUGAGACCACUUAUAUAUGGGAUCACAAUUGGAUUCCCGUGGAAAGUUUUAAGAGGUUGAUCGCCCCACUUGUCCAAGAUCCACCGCAAUUAGUGGCGGACCUAAUCGAUGCCACCUCUGCUGCAUGGAAAGAAGAAUGUGGUACGACCAGUUUUUACCCCCUUUGA
rnacentral:rRNA from 1 species